ensembl:snRNA U6 U6 spliceosomal RNA
GUGCUUGCUUUGGCAGCACAUAAACUAAAACUGGAAUGAUACAGAAAAGAUUAGCAUGGUCUUCUGUAUAAGGAAGACACCCAAGGCAGAAGAACAAUAAGGGCUA